rnacentral:sRNA from 1 species
GAAUCCGAAGACAAAUCAAACGAAGGAAAAGAAAGCUCAUCAGAUGAAAAGAGCGAAGAAAAAGGCAACAAGAAACAGCGAGCUACUGAUUCAUCUGAUGAAGACGAAGAGGAUUUGAAAGAUGAGGUGCUAGCUGACGAUGUAGGAGAGAUACCCGACGUCAAACCAAACAAAGGAAAUGAAAGCUCUUCCAAAGGAAAGAAUGAAGGAGAAGAAAACGAGAAACAGAGAGACAAAAGAAGCCCAAGGAGAUUUAGAGGAUCUUCUAAUAAGAAUUCAAACUCAGACAACUCGAAGAGAAACAGUAACAAGGUUCCUCAAAAAGCUGAAAACAACAAUAACAACAAUGCUGACAAUAAAGGCUCCGCUGAGGACUCCUCGGCAUAAAGUGAUA